CAGGGAGACAACAAAAUGUUAAAUAUUAAUUUUGUCACCUUAGGUCGAUCGGUAUCUCACAUUCUUAAUUUAUUUAAGGAUUUUAUUUCCUAAGUUUUUUUCUAGGUCACACCCAUUUUUUUCCUGGGCCAUUAGCUCAGGUGGUUAGAGCGCACCCCUGAUAAGGGUGAGGUCCCUGGUUCAAGUCCAGGAUGGCCCAUAUCUCUAUGUUGGGGGUAUAGCUCAGUUGGUAGAGCGCCUGCUUUGCAAGCAGGAUGUCAGCGGUUCGAGUCCGCUUACCUCCACUGAUCACCACCUCUUCCAUAAAUAGAAGGAAAAAAUUUUGAGUUGUGAUCAAAUCCUGAACGAAUCUAGCUUCCUAAUAAUUUAUUAAGAUGCUGGACUCAUUGAAUUAAUUUCAUUGUUUUCAGAGAACCUUGACAACUGCAUAGAUUAUUUUUAAAGACAAUAAGCAUCUUUAAUGAUGCAGAUUUAUUAUUUGUGCGAAUGCAUUAAUAACAAUUCUAUUAAGCUGAUGCUUCAA
rnacentral:tRNA from 1 species